rnacentral:lncRNA from 12 species
GUCCCCAGCUGUUACAUCAAGGACCUCAGAGAAAAAGAGCAGGAGUGCAUCUCAAAGGAGAGGCAAAGGUGACUUGGCACCUCUGUGGGUUGCUGUCUGAAAUGGAGGCAGAGGAAACCUUGGCCCACUCUGAGAGGUGCACCAAGAGCAACUUAGGAGACUGCAAGAAAAGCCAGCCUCAAGAGUGUGGAUUGGUCACUCCUAGGUCCCUUCCACCAAGAGGAACAGUAAUGAGAAGCCCUUCCUUUCAGAGAGGUGGGAAACACAUGCAUCUGUCCAAGAAGAGGAAGAGCAGAGACUUAAAAAGGGAAAUGCCCUGAUGCACUAGGG